AAGAACUGGAUAAGAUGGAUGUUUCAGAGUAUGGGGAAGUAUCUCUGUGCAACUUAGGCGGAUUCGCCCUAGGUCG
rnacentral:tRNA from 1 species